AAAAAGUGUGGGAAGAGGAAAAAUUUUAACAAAAUUUUAGACUGUAAGAAGAAAUCUUAUAAAAUCUGGCGCUAUUAAAGUGCAAUCAAAAAAAGACGAAAAAAUAGAAGAAAUAACUGAUGAUUGUGAAGAUUCAGACUGUGAGCAAUACGAUUUGUGGUUGCAAAAUAAUGAUAAACCGUGGAUAAAAGUAACUCAAUUAUGGGAGAAAACAUCUAAAAUACGAUUAAAGUCUUUACAAUCCGGUGUGAUCAUAGUAUUCAAGAUUAUAUUAAACUUUAUUCUGCUUUAGAAGAACCUCAAGGAUAUACCUUACUGGAAAAAGAUUUUGAAAAAUUGUAUCCUGAAGCACAUAUGAAAAUGUAUGCACAAUGGGCCAAAUUGUCAGCA